GGUAAACCAAAGAGGAAGAACAGUUCAUCGUUGAGGAACAAUUGCGUCGCCAUGAUUUGUCUACACCGGACAGAUGAUGUGGGGUGGUAUAUAUGCCUCGGAAAAUCAUGCUUCUCACAAACAUGAUCUGCUUAGGCUGGCCAUAGUGGGGUAACAUACAUUUGGGACUAGCAAACAUGCUUAUGUGACACAUAAUUAAAAAAGAGAGGGAGGAUUAGAGUAACAUAGGUAGAUACCGUAUCUCUACUCUUAAUGAAGCAGUUGGUAGUCUUCGCCGGUCAAUUUUCGUCCCACCACUUUCGUCCGGUUUUUUUUCGCCGGUUAACCUUCGUAGAUUUUUUUGGUUCCGUCCACCACCUCCCCUCCGCUGGUUUUAGCGUCGCGACAGAACCAAUCGCUAGCCCUACCACCUCUCCCGUCUCCAGUCGCAGCCGCCGCUGCCGCCGCACCCCAAUCCAACCCCGCCGCCGGCGAUCUCCUCGCCCCCCUGUGCCGUCGCCCCCAACCUUCUAUUCCUCUCCCAAGGGAAGGGAAGGGAAGGCAAGGCAAGGGAAGGGAGAGGGAGCGCCCAGAUCCACGGCGGCAUCAGCGCGCCGUCCUCGACCUGAUCCGCGUCCGUCCACGGAUGGGAGCUAAUCGGCGCAGGAAAUCCCCGUCCCCGCGUCCGAGCCCCGCCACCCUCCGCAACGGCUCGACCGCCCAUCGACGCGCUGCCCCCGCGGCGCCCGACUAGUUCGGCUCUCGCGGCUGGUGGACGCGCCCUUGCUGUUGCCGACGCCGGCUCGCUGCGCCGCACUGGCCCUCACAAGCGUCUUCUGUCAAUGAUGGACUUGAGAGGUCAAGGAGUUUCCAUUGGGACAUCGGGACAUGCUCCUCCAUCUCCUCCGGUGGACGACAUCCAACAUCGCCAGGUAGAUUACUGUUUUUGCAAAUUCCAGUUCUUGAUGUUUAAAACUGGAUGAUCUGCACCCAACCCCUCUAUUGUUCUAUUUCUGCUUAAAUCUGAUUUGGUUGUUCAGUUCAUGCACUUAUGGACUGAAGAAAAAAAAAUGGAAAUGAAGAAGAAAAGAAUAGCAAUAUUAUCAUAUGGGAGGUUUGCUUUUAACCUUGGUUCCUAACCAAUAUUUGCUUCAUAAUUCUGCCGAGAGAUUCACACUGUCAUUCAUAUUAUGAAUAUAGUUCAUAACCAGUAUUCUCUUUUAUCUAAUUAUAUGUACAGAAAGGAGUAAUCUGAAGUGAAUUCAUGCUAUGUUAACAGUCUAACAAACAUCUUGGAGGUGUGAAUGCUUUCUUGGGUCUGACAAGUAAUCAAUAAUUGAUGGUAUACUGGGAUUUUUCUCAUACUUCUAGCACUUCCUCAUUGACAAUAAAGCAAGUAGUAUCACAACAAAGGCUAUCCAGGUAUUUUUUUUCAACUAUAAUCCUUCCAGCUUUAGGGACUGCUCAAUUGGAUCUGCACAAUCCAACAAAAUAAAUGUGCAUAGUGUCUGCGACACUUUCAUCCGAUCAUCACGAAGAUAGUUGUAGGAGUAAAAAAGUAUGUCAUACUGUUUUUUCAGUUCAAGCCAAAAGGCUAGGACAGGUAAUACUUGUUUUUACAGUACUUGUGCAAAAAGUAUGUCAUACUGUUUGCUCUAGAUGAUUUUGAUGAAUUUUACAACCUUAUUUUCAGUUGUUUACCCCAAGAAAUGGUCUGCUUUCAUGGGGUUUAUUGAAUCCAGGAAAGAACUGUGAGUAGUAGCGAACUAGACAUGAAAAGUUUCAGAGAACUACGAAAACUCUGGUCAGUUUUGUCGGGAUCUUGUGACACAGUUCCAGGACUCUAUUGACUAAGGAAAUGAUAUAUAUGUGUGAUUUAUCCUGUUAAAACUUUUAGUGUUCACUUAGGGGUGAGUGCAACCAGUAACUGAAUUUAGACUACAAACUAGAGUAUGACAGUAAAGUCAGGAGCAUGAUGGAGAACACACGGGACAUUGAGGACUAAUGGUCAACACUUAAAUCUUGCUUUACAUACAGUUCAGUUCCAAGUAGUCUGAUACAUAGAUGGCGAGGGGAGUGCUGAUUUGGGGUUGAUUUUGGUAAUUAUAUAUUUUCCUUGAUGACUAUCAUUUUGUUGUCCUACAUGUGCUAUAUGAUAUGCAUAACAACUUGAGAGCACCUUUGCUUCUCUUGAUGUGCUUCGUCAUACAGUUUUUUAAAGUGCACAAGCAAGCUUGCGAGUGAUGACAACUACUAUGACCUACAACCUUGAAUCUAGGUUUUUGGGGUUGAACAUAGGGGCACAGCGCGCUCUCCCAUCUAACCAGUGAAGCGUAAUGAAGGAAAAGCUACAAUAUACAAAUCGUCACCGUCAUUCAGUUUGUCCAAAACUGAGAAAAGCUCUUUAAAAAAUUGGGAAAAGCUCACGUGAUGGAAUGAGAUGAGAUUUCAACAUCAUGAUUGCGUUUUAUAAUUUGAACGACCAAAGUAGAUGGUCCCGUCAGCCCGUGUUUGACAAUAUGAAGGGACAAACUUGUUGAUCCAUUAUUUUGCCAGGAAAAUACAAUAAUUCGGAGGGCUUAAAUAUGGAUAAUAGAUCUGACAUAAUCUAGCAAGGUGAGUGACUCAAUUGCACAUGUGCAAAAUGGAAGUUUAAACUUCCUUGAAUCUCUUGUAGGGUUUGGGGGAGAUUGUCAGCGAGCCACUGAUGAAAGUCCUUUUGCGAUGACAAUGCUAGAGAAGAUUUGAAAGAUCUUGGUUGGCGUGGGGCAACUUGUGUAUUCCUGUAUGGGGGCGCCGUCCGGUGGCAGUGGGGUGUGGCAGUUGCCGCAGCUGGGCACAACCGGGAGUCCACCUAUCCAGAACACCCAACUAUUUCAUCCGGUGAACUGCGAAGAGCUUCUGUGUGCGUCUCCGUUAUAUUUAACUACGACAGGCUUAUGUUAUCUUAUCGCGAACUCAUUUUUCAGUUUGUGCCCAACGUGACUGCAUGUAAAUAUGUAAUACAGCAAUUUUGUUCUUCCUUUUUGUUGUUCGAUUGACUCAGUAUACCAUCUCAAAUGUCAUUCCCUUUAUAGCUAGCACAUCAUCUCCAAAGAAUUUAUUUAAGUUGAAAUCCAGUAAUUAUAUGUUGAUCGCAUAAGCAGGCUGAUGGUGUCUUGGUCGAAUUUUUUUAUUCCUUCUCUAUGGAACUAAAACUGUUCUUUCCUGAAUAUAUUGGAUCGCAAAGAACUAAACCUAUGUACAAUGUCUUUGGGCAUAUUCUGAAUUUGCAGAAUUAGCACAAAUCUGAAAGCAUAUAUGCAGCUCCCAGAUGUUGCAGGCUAGAGGAAGGGCAGGCACUCAUGCGAUACCAUGUAUCUGGUAGUGUUUUCGUUCCCCAGACGCUAUGCAUUUAUUGUCUGGUUUGUUCAUAUCUGUUAGCUCUAUGUUAACCUUCUUUUAGUUACUUCCCAUGAUUUUCUUUGUAAGAAACCCCAGAAAUAUAUAUAGGUGUAAUUUCCUGUAAAGAUGCUAAAUUUUGUUGGUCUUAUUUAUGGGAUAGCGAAACCAUUUUUGUGUGCACUUAAUUGUCUGGUUGGACGCGCC
rnacentral:rRNA from 1 species